CUUGUCAGGAGGGCCAUUUACCUUUUUGUAUAAUGGGUUAACUGAAUUUCGUGUUGCGUUUGACAUCUUCUUGGUUAUCUUUUAUGAUACCUAUUCGUCACAGACAUGUCACUUUGCAAAGGUUUUGGUACACUUUUACAAGACUGCAAUUUUGGCUCUACGUUAGAUUCCUGACACGUCCUAACCUUAAUUUCACUCUUCCUUACAAUAGAACUUUGUGAGAUUCAGUUUUUUUAAAAUUUGAAAUGAAUUACUUAGUUUUAUCUGUCAUUGAUGUCGGGUUUUCUUGUGUGAAACUGUAGUAAUAUUAUUUAUACAUGUCUAUUACACAUAUUCCACUAACGUUAA